GCCGAGGUAGCCAAGUGGCCAAAGGCGACGGACUCAAGAUCUAAACAGAGUCGCCAGACUCCGCUGAGAAAUCCGUUCUCGUAGGAGUUCGUGGGUUCAAAUCCCAUCCUCGGCA
rnacentral:tRNA from 1 species